GGGAAAGAAGGAAGCCAGAGAGAUCCAGGGAGCCAGAGCCAUGCAGCAGGGCAGGAGAGGAGAUUCGCUCCUGUCAGCGGCUGAGCUGUGGCGCGGGCGGGCCUUGCCGACUCGGUAACUAAAGCCAACCUCACCACCCGAGAGCUAUUACAUCACCCUCACAUCCUUCAUCACUGUCAACAUCACAGUGACCACCAUCACCAUCAUCACUAACAUCCCUGUGACCCAUCCUCACAUAUCCCUUGACAUGGAAAGAAUGGUGCAGGUAGACCAGAUGGCUGGGAUGAUGGGGUGGAUCCCAAAGGCUUCCUGGUGGUGGUGGCAACUAUAUACAGUGCAAUUCUCUUGCAGUGUCGUCUGUAUUACAGACAGGCAACACUCCAUCUGGCUUUUGGAUCAUUUUCAAGCCUUCAGCUAGAAGAACAAGAUGUCCAGGUCUCCAAGCUAUGCCUUAUGACACUGCCCCUCGACCCCAGGGGAGUCACUCUGCUGUGUGGUUUGCUCAUCUUUAAUUUUUAACACCAAGCAAGCAGGAACCCUGCUGGGCUUUGUCACGGUUUCCGAGACACAGCACAGGGCCCGUGAGUAACGGUGGUUGCAUAAACUCAUGACUGAACCUGCGAAAGCAUGAAUCAGUCAGGACGUCGGGACCUGGGGAGAGCCACACUGAUGACCAGAAAGCAGGAAAACAGCAGUGGCCGCCAUUUUCCCUGCGUCCUCUUCUCCCCCACUUUUUUCCCCCCUUCUCCUUUCUGAUUUUAUAGAAAUGGUUCUCCUCAGAUUGCAGAGCACAAACUGACUGAUUGAUGCCCCAGAACUAAUACCCUCAGACAGACCGGAGGCGAGAGGACGAUUAUUUAACACAGCACCCAGGGGCAUGGGGUAUGGGAACAUCAUUCUUGUGCGGUAUAAAGCAGAUGAAAUAAAAAGUUUAUGCCAAAA